CUUCCACACAGCUCUCCUGCCAGCCAUGGACGGUGUGGACCGUAAUCUGGGCUGACAUCCACCCAGCUAUGGUAAGGCCUCAGGUUCACUGUGGUCUCUAGCUUCCCUGAUAGCACGCCUGCUCUCAGACUCUGGCCACAGUGGACUUACUUUCACAAAGUAUACAGAGAGGGUAGCAUUGGACAUCUUAGUCUCCCCAAAAGUCCGAAUGUUGAAGGCUGCAAUUCUCAGAGUCCCAGCCAGCCGCAGCAGGUUGAUCAAGGUGAGCAGUGUUCCCAUUAGCCCUGUGUACCGCAUCCUGUGAGAUUGGAUGGUCAGGACAAAGAAGCAGUGAAGCUCCCAUCCCCAUCAAAGACUAAAGCCUAGCUUGUGCUGAGCCAGUGGGAGGCCCUCAGUCCUUCCCCUGUACUUACCUGAAAGCCAAUCUGAGACGGCUGCAGCAGUCAGAACAGACCUGCUCUGUAUGAUGAGCCCCCGAGUCUGCACUGGAACUGGAUGAACAAGAUGCUGUCUCUACCAUGCCGAACAUCAACAGUAGGACCAGGAGCACACUCUGGAGGUACAAGAACCAGGAAGGUAGAAGCAGCUGAGUGCUUCUGGAGUUUUCAGUCAGAUCAACAAGGAAGUAUGUGCUGACAGCCAGUGACCAUAAGGAACACUGGCCACUUUUACGGAUCAGGUGAGCUUUUUAAAGGUCAGCUCUGAUUAUUUACAAUGUUCUCUUUAAAUUGCUCUUGUCACAGAUACCAAAUGGGGAAGUAACGAAUAGCAAUAGAUUAUUAAAGUGUGAGCCAAGUCAAAGGAUAUGG
ensembl:antisense Gm15879 predicted gene 15879